rnacentral:ncRNA from 1 species
CUGGCCGGUGCUGGAAGGUCGGACGGAGAAGUGUUAUAAGUUUUGAAUGAAAGUGCGGUAAACGGCAACAGUAACUCUAACUGUCCUAAGAUAGCGAAAUUUCUUGUCACAUAAGUAGUGACCUGCAAGAAUG